rnacentral:rRNA from 1 species
GGGAAUUUUGGACAAUGGGCGCAAGCCUGAUCCAGCAAUGCCGCGUGAGUGAAGAAGGCCUUCGGGUUGUAAAGCUCUUUUGUCAGGGAAGAAACGGGUUUUUCUAAUACAGAGACCUAAUGACGGUACCUGAAGAAUAAGCACCGGCUAACUACGUGCCAGCAGCCGCGGUAAUACGUAGGGUGCAAGCGUUAAUCGGAAUUACUGGGCGUAAAGCGUGCGCAGGCGGUUUUGUAAGACUGUCGUGAAAUCCCCGGGCUCAACCUGGGAAUGGCGAUGGUGACUGCAAGGCUAGAGUUUGGCAGAGGGGGGUAGAAUUCCACGUGUAGCAGUGAAAUGCGUAGAUAUGUGGAGGAACACCGAUGGCGAAGGCAGCCCCCUGGGUCAAAACUGACGCUCAUGCACGAAAGCGUGGGGAGCAAACAGG